UUUGUUAUGGUGGUGCAGAGCAGAAUUAUUAUGGAAACUGUGGGGAAUUAUGAACUGAAACUCUCAAGUUUUAUCUUUUCCUCUCUUGCUCAUCACUUGCCAAUGCUGCUUGAUAAACACUAGGAAUGUUCCGCCUCCUAGCUACUGGCCAACCACCAGAGAAAGAACCAGAAUUAUUAAACAAGGCAUGUAUUCCAGUGACGGGAUCAAAUGGCAGUUGGAGCCCAAGCGACAUCAGCACCACCAUAUAGUUGCAGGGGCUGCAUCACCAUCACUUCUAGUCUGGUACAUGGCACGGCGAGGAUUGGCGCACAGUGGCAGAUAGAUAAAGAAUUAUAAAUUGGAGUAGAGAUCAACAAUGCUGGGCAAGCUUGAUAGGAUGACUCUGAGCAAAGUUAAGUCAAAAACUGAGGCUGAAGAAGAGAAUCCGAUGAGAUACCAACAGUGUUUCUAUCGAGGCCACAUGCAUUCAUCAGAUUCAAUCAACUCGUUCAGUGUAUCUAGCUACAACAACAUGUGAUGUCUUGCAAUGGUACUUAAUUCCAUCUUUCGUCGAGUGAUUCUCUAGCAAGCAUCGCUUCCCAGAAGUCGCAAUUGAGUAUGAGCAAGGAUCAAUCGGCAGCUGCUCACAUACAAGCUCACCAGCUGGAUAAAUUAAUACAUACCAUGUCAAACAACAAAACAAGUCAAUACAUAUAUAAUAGUGGUAUAAAAGAUUAUAAAGUACUUGUUUGGCAUCAAGAUUAAAUCUGAUUUUUCUUAAAAUUUAAUUUUUAAAGCCAGGAAUGCGAUCACAAGGCCAUAUUUUUUUCAGUUCAGUAAGCUUGGAGGCUUGGAGCAAGGCUUUAAUCGACGAUGCAAACAGCAAAUGGAAGUGGGCAUGAUGAGCAAUCAGGUUAAUCUGUGAGGUUGUGUUUAUACAGGGAGAAUACAUCUUCAAAGGUCAAAUAACUUUCUAGGUAUCUUACGCUGAUUUAGUA